rnacentral:rRNA from 1 species
CCUACGGGUGGCAGCAGUGAGGAAUAUUGGUCAAUGGGCGGGAGCCUGAACCAGCCAAGCCGCGUGAGGGAAGAAGGUACAGCGUAUCGUAAACCUCUUUUGUCAGGGAACAAAGGCGGGGACUAGUCCCCGGAUGAGGGUACCUGAAGAAAAAGCAUCGGCUAACUCCGUGCCAGCAGCCGCGGUAAUACGGAGGAUGUGAGCGUUAUCCGGAUUUAUUGGGUUUAAAGGGUGCGCAGGGGGCCUGUUAAGUCAGCGGUAAAAGCCCGGGGCUCAACCCCGGCGAGCCGUUGAAACGGGCGGGUUGGAGUGGGGGAGAGGUAGGCGGAAUGCGCGGGGUAGCGGGGAAAUGCUGGGAUAUCGCGCAGAACCCAGAUUGCGAAGGCAGCGUACCGGCUCCACACUGACGCUGAGGCACGAAAGCGUGGGUAUCGAACAGGAUUAGAUACCCGGGUAGUC